rnacentral:rRNA from 1 species
CAAUAGCGUAUAUUAAAGCUGUUGCGGUUAAAAAGCUCGUAGUUGGAUUUCUGUCAAGUACAACUGGUCCGCCCUCCGGGUGAGCACAUAGUUUGGUCUUGGCAUCUUGCUGGAAAUUGUUGCUGCACUUGGCUGUGUGGCGCAGUGUCCAGCACUUUCACUUUGAGGAAAUUGGAGUGUUUCAAGCAGGCAAUGCCUUUGAACACAGUAACAUGGAAUAAUUAGAUUGGGCUUUUGCUCCAAUUUGUCGGUUUCUGGAGCUGAGGUGAGAAUUAAUGGGGAUUGUUGGGGGCAUCCGAAUUUAGCCGUCAGAGGUGAAAUUCUUGGAUCGGCUAAAGACGGACAACUGCGAAAGCGUUUGCCCAGGAUGUUUUCAUUGA